rnacentral:rRNA from 1 species
AACGAACGCUGGCGGCAUGCCUAACACAUGCAAGUNGAACGACCUUUCGGGUUUAGUGGCGCACGGGUGCGUAACGCGUGGGAAUCUGCCUUUAGGUACGGAAUAACUCAGGGAAACUUGUGNUAAUACNGUAUGAUGUCUUCGGACCAAAGAUUUAUCGCCUAGGGAUGAGCCCGCGUUGGAUUAGNUAGUUGGUGGGNNAAAGGCCUNCCANGGCGACGAUCCAUAGNUGGUCUGAGAGGAUGAUCANCCACACUGGGACUGAGACACGNCCCAGACUCNUACGGGAGGCAGCAGUGGGGAAUAUUGGACAAUGGGCGCAAGCCUGAUCCAGCAAUGCCGCGUGAGUGAUGAAGGCCUUAGGGUUGUAAAGCUCUUUUNCCCGGGAAGAUAAUGACUGUACCGGGAGAAUAAGCCCCGGCUAACUCCGUNCCAGCAGCCGCGGUAAUACGGAGGGGGCUAGCGUUGUCCGGAAUUACUGGGCGUAAAGCGUACGUAGGCGGCUUUGUAAGUUAGAGGUGAAAGCCCGGGGCUCAACCCCGGAAUUNCCUUUAAGACUGCAUCGCUUGAACGUCGGAGAGGUGAGUGGAAUUCCGAGUGUAGAGGUGAAAUUCGUAGAUAUUCGGAAGAACACCAGUGGCGAAGGCGGCUCACUGGACGACUGUUGACGCUGAGGUACGAAAGCGUGGGGAGCAAACAGGAUUAGAUACCCUGGUAGUCCACGCCGUAAACGAUGAUAACUAGCUGUCCGGGCACUUGGUGCUUGGGUGGCGCAGCUAACGCAUUAAGUUAUCCGCCUGGGGAGUACGGCCGCAAGGUUAAA